UCAGCAGCCGCGGUAAUACGUAGGGGGCAAGCGUUGUCCGGAAUUACUGGGCGUAAAGGGCGCGCAGGCGGACUGUCAAGUCAGAUGUGAAAUCCCUCGGCUCAACCGGGGAAUUGCAUUUGAAACUGUCAGUCUUGAGUACAGGAGAGGAGAGCGGAAUUCCCGGUGGAGCGGUGGAAUGCGCAGAGAUCGGGAGGAACACCAGUGGCGAAGGCGGCUCUCUGGCCUGUGACUGACCUGAGGACGCGAAAGCCAGGGGAGCGAACAGGAUUAGAUACCCUGGUAGUCCUGGCUGUAAACGAUGGGCACUAAGGUGUGGGAGGU
rnacentral:rRNA from 1 species